rnacentral:rRNA from 1 species
AGCUUGCUGUUUCGCUGACGAGUGGCGGACGGGUGAGUAAUGUCUGGGAAACUGCCUGAUGGAGGGGGAUAACUACUGGAAACGGUAGCUAAUACCGCAUAACGUCGCAAGACCAAAGAGGGGGACCCUCGGGCCUCUUGCCAUCGGAUGUGCCCAGAUGGGAUUAGCUUGUUGGUGGGGUAACGGCUCACCAAGGCGACGAUCCCUAGCUGGUCUGAGAGGAUGACCAGCCACACUGGAACUGAGACACGGUCCAGACUCCUACGGGAGGCAGCAGUGGGGAAUAUUGCACAAUGGGCGCAAGCCUGAUGCAGCCAUGCCGCGUGUAUGAAGAAGGCCUUCGGGUUGUAAAGUACUUUCAGCGGGGAGGAAGGGAGUAAAGUUAAUACCUUUGCUCAUUGACGUUACCCGCAGAAGAAGCACCGGCUAACUCCGUGCCAGCAGCCGCGGUAAUACGGGGGGUGCAAGCGUUAAUCGGAAUUACUGGGCGUAAAGCGCACGCAGGCGGUUUGUUAAGUCAGAUGUGAAAUCCCCGGGCUCAACCUGGGAACUGCAUCUGAUACUGGCAAGCUUGAGUCUCGUAGAGGGGGGUAGAAUUCCAGGUAUAGCGGUGAAAUGCGUAGAGAUCUGGAGGAAUACCGGUGGCGAAGG